rnacentral:rRNA from 1 species
AUACGGAGGAUCCGAGCGUUAUCCGGAUUUAUUGGGUUUAAAGGGUGCGCAGGCGGCCAUUUAAGUCAGCGGUUAAAUCGUGGGGCUCAACCCCAUUCUGCCGUUGAUACUGGGUGGCUUGAUUGCGGUCGAGGUUGGCGGAAUUCGUUGUGUAGCGGUGAAAUGCAUAGAUAUGACGAAGAACACCGAUUGCGUAGGCAGCUGACCAGACCGCGAAUGACGCUCAAGCACGAAAGUGCGGGGAUCGAACAGGAUUAGAUACCCUGGUAGUCCGCACAGUAAACGAUGAAUACUUGUUUUCGGCGAUAUAAUGUCGGAGGCAAAGCGGAAGCGAUAAGUAUUCCACCUGGGGAGUACGCCGGCAACGGUGAAACUUAAAGGAAUUGACGGGG